rnacentral:lncRNA from 13 species
AUGCGCGCGAAGUCUGGGGCGGAGGCGAGCGGCGAGUGUGCGCGGCUUGGGGUGAUGCACGCCGGAGACUCCAAGGAGAAGAGGCAAUUUGGACAUAAAGAGAAACAUCAAGGGCAUGAGUACACAGAGGAAAGAUCAUGUGAUGGCAUGGCUACAGGGCAACCAUCUGUAAACCAAGGAGAGAAACCUCAAAAGAAAUCAAUCCUGUUGACACUUUGAUCUUGGACUUCUAGCCUCCAGAACUGUAAGAAAAUAAAUUAACUUCUGUUGUGUAAGCCAUACAGGGUUUCGUUUCAUUUUGUAAUAGUUUGAACAGGCUAAUACAGGGGUAGUAGUAAUGGAGGCCAUAAAAGAAUCCAUAGGUAGCGUUUAUCAAGCACUUGCUGUGUUCAAGGAGUAUUCUAAGCCCUACCUGAGUCAUCUCAUCUAAACUCUUGCAAAUCCUAAAUUACCUGUUCAAUGCCCUACAGGAAGUGAUGACACCAGCCUGACUCAGGUGCCUUUUCUCUCAACCUCCACUGCACCUGUGUCUAGCACCUGUACAGUUCCAGGAAUCAUGCAAAGUACUUCAUAGAAAAUCUUUCUGGUCAUCACAACUCUCGAAGGUGUUGGCUACCUUUGUGGUUUUAAGAAAGCCUGAGGGCCUGAAGGCAGCCACGGGAGAAGCCCUUUCCGAGGGCAUUCGGAACCUUCCCAUCCUAGAGGUGAAGCUGAACUGUCACCAGGACUUAUGACCCGCGGCUUCGCUCCCAUUCUGCCCAUUGAGUUCCACAAGAUGGGCUCCUUCCGCAGGCCUAGACCGCGCUUCAUGAGCUCCCCCGUACUCAGUGACCUGCCCCGAUUCCAAGCAACUCGGCAGACUCUGCAGCUGAGCUCCAGCUCAGCCUGGAACAGCGUUCAGACUGCUGUGAUCAACGUUUUCAAAGGGGGUGGCUUGCAAAGCAACGAGCUCUAUGCCCUGAACGAAAACAUCAGGCGGCUGUUGAAGAGUGAACUUGGAUCAUUCAUUACAGACUAUUUUCAGAACCAGCUUCUUGCAAAAGGACUGUUCUUUGUGGAGGAGAAGAUCAAGCUGUGUGAAGGUGAAAAUCGCAUUGAGGUUCUGGCUGAAGUCUGGGACCACUUCUUCACUGAGACUCUCCCUACCCUGCAAGCAAUAUUUUAUCCAGUUCAGGGCCAGGAGCUGACUAUCCGCCAGAUCUCCCUGCUGGGCUUCCGAGACCUGGUCCUGCUGAAGGUGAAGCUGGGUGACUUGCUGCUGCUGGCCCAGUCCAAGCUGCCCUCGUCCAUUGUCCAGAUGUUGCUCAUCCUGCAGAGUGUUCACGAGCCCACAGGCCCAAGUGAGAGUUAUUUGCAACUGGAGGAGCUGGUGAAGCAAGUGGUUUCUCCUUUCCUCGGCAUCAGUGAUGACCGUAGCUUCUCAGGCUCUGCGUACAUGCUGGCCAGGCGGCACUCCAGGGUCCGGCCCAAGGUGACUGUCCUGAACUAUGCCUCCCCGGUAACUGCAGUCAGCCGGCCACUGAAUGAGAUGGCCUUGACCCCACUGACAGAGCAGGAGGGGGAAGCCUACCUGGAGAAGUGUGGCAGCGUGCGGCGGCACACGGUGGCCAAUGCCCACUCAGACAUCCAGCUGCUGGCCAUGGCCACCAUGAUGCACUCAGGCCUGGGGGAGGAUGCCAGCAGUGAGGACAAAUGCCUGCUCCUGCCACCCAGCUUCCCCUCACCUCACCGGCAGUGCUCCAGUGAGCCCAGCAUUACCGACAGCCCUGACGGACUGGAGGAGGGGGCCGGGGGCAGCCAGGAGGGCUCAGAGCUGAACUGUGCUUCCCUCAGCUGA